rnacentral:lncRNA from 1 species
UCGAAGUUUUCUUACGCGUACAACGUGCACACCUGAAAGAAAUCUCAGUUUGCUCAUUGUCGAUCUUAUACCAUUUGUUUGACCACUCAAGUGAUUAAUACAGUCUCUCAAAGCCUUGCUCAGAGUCCAAAUAUAUCAGCGACAGGAUACUACAGGUAACGCUACAGUUCCAAAAGAAGAUACCGACAAACAUAAUUAGUGCAUAUGCUCCAGAUGUUACCAAAACACAAAAAAAGAAAGAGGAAUUCCAUGAACCGAUGCAAGCGCACCUAGACAACAUACCUAGGCAUAACGUGACUGUAAUACUUGGUGACUUCAAUGCAAGGAUCGGUAAUAUGAUAGUCAAUGGGAUAAAAAACUGUUUUAAUGAGAAUACCACCAAUUGCAAUGGGGACAGGCUAACUAACUUCUGUGUCAUGAACGAACUACCCAUUUACAACACGUUCUACCCCCAUAAACUGCAACACAAAUUAACCUACAAAAA